rnacentral:rRNA from 1 species
CCUACGGGGUGCAGCAGUGAGGAAUAUUGGUCAAUGGGCGAGAGCCUGAACCAGCCAAGUCGCGUGAGGGAGUACUGCCCUAUGGGUUGUAAACCUCUUUUGUCGGGGAGCAAAAGCCGGACGUGUCCGGCUGUGAGAGUACCCGAAGAAAAAGCAUCGGCAAACUCCGUGCCAGCAGCCGCGGUAAUACGGGGGAUGCGAGCGUUAUCCGGGUUUAUUGGGUUUAAGGGGUGCGCAGGCGGAUUUUUAAGUCAGCGGUAAAAUCGUGGGGCUCAACCCCAUCCAGCCGUUGAAACUGGGGAUCUAGAGUGUGCGAGAGGUAUGCGGAAUGCGUGGUGUAGCGGUGAAAUGCAUAGAUAUCACGCAGAACCCCGAUUGCGAAGGCAGCAUACCGGUGCACAACUGACGCUCAGGCACGAAAGCGUGGGUAUCGAACAGGAUUAGAUACCCUUGUAGUC